GGGCGACUAGCUCAGCUGGUCAGAGCGUCUCCUUUACACGGAGAAGGUCCUCGGUUCGAGCCCGAGGUCGCCCA
rnacentral:tRNA from 2 species